UUUUUUUUUUAUUAUUGUUUAUUUUUCUUUUCUCAUUUGUACAAGAAAAAUACUAAAAUAGUUUUUUUAUUGGAAAAUUAGUUUUUAAAUACAUCAAAAUAUAUUUUAAAAAAUAUAACUUAUUAUUUUAAUUACAAAACUAAACCAAAUAUCAAUCGAGUCUAGUUUAAUAACGACUCUUCGGCUUAAGGAGUUUACUACUUACAAGGCCUAUAUUUCUUAAAAAAAGACGAGAUGAGAUCCUGUGGCCGAAGUACCAAACCCAAAAAGAACGAGUUGAAUCGGAUUCUCGCUCAAAGCCUAUUCUCGAUGCACUCUUUCUCUUAUAGCGGAAUUCCCCUUCACUUGCCAAACCUUCUUCUUCCUGGUCCUAUCGAACCAGACACUGAAUACCUGGCCUUACCCAAGCCCAAGUCUAGUUUCGAAUCUAGUCUCGGCAUCAAUCCGUGAAAGCCUUCAAGCUCAAUCCCUUCCUUCUAGGCUUCCCCGCUCUUUGGGAUAGCAGAAAUACUAAAGAUCGUGACAACCACAACUAGAUCUAUUCUGUGAACAGUCUCUUUCUCAGCCAAAGUAUCUUUCGAGACCUUUCCAUCAUGACCUUUGGAAGAAACUGGCUCUCCCAUGGGAACUGAUUAGAUAACGCGUUCGCACCGUUCAAUUGAAUCAAAGAAGCCUUCCUUUGGUUCUACCUUUCUCUCUGGUUGAGUACCUUUUUUCUAUGUAAAAAUUUAAAGAAUAGUGCGAUGUAAUAGAUUCAAUGACAAGAAUCAAAUAAAGUUGAUGGGACUCUAAGUAAGACAUCCACGUGAGACUCUCGUAUAUUUUCUCAAGAUGUCAUAUGUUCUAUUAGGUGAGGUAUAAUAAAUAUAGAGUUAACUUUUACUAUUUAAAAAAUAUCAUUUAUUAUUUAAGAGAGUUAACAUUUUUAAAACUUAUAUAAUUUUGCAAAUGAAAUCUUUUAUUUGAAAUUAAAUUACAAUUGAAAAAUUAAUUUCAAGAUAUGUUGAUUUUGUUAUAAUUUAAGUUUAUUUGAUUUUUUUUAAAUAAUAUAAGAAUUAAAUUGAUCUAUUUAAUAAUAGUGAGACUAAUUGGAUAUAGUCCUAAUAAUUAGCGGAUCUCCCGCAAACUUUAAUCCAACUGAAUCUCGAUAUUAAUAAAAUUGUAUCAAUUUAAUUCUUGCUCAUUGGGAAAAAAUUUCAAAUAAGGUUAAAGUUAAAAAGAGUUAAUGUUUAUUAGUGAAGACAAAGUGAAUGGUUUGUGAUUUCCUAUAAUGUUUUAAGGAUGUGUUUGGGCAUUACAUAGUAAUUGAAUAAACGUAUAAUUAUUUGGGUUAUAAUUAUACUCUCUUGUAAUUAUAACAAAUUUUUAGUCUUUAAACGUGUUUGACUAAUAAAAUAUAAUUACAUCGUAAUUUUUUAUCUCAUGUUUAAUAAUAUAAAUUAUAAUUAUACGAUCCCAUGCAGGAGCCAAUUAACUCUCAAUCUUUGGUGCCAAGAGAUUUUUUUGAGUUUUUCAAUCUCCCCUUUUUCCUUGCCAACACCUUGGAAUUUCAGAGCUUCCAAUUUCUUCAUUAUCCAUCCAUGUCCCAAGUCCUCUCCCAAAUUCUUUCUUCCUUCAUUUAUGAUAUUCUCACGUUCAUUGCUAGAUUGAAAUUGGAAGGUCUUUCUCCGUUUUAAUUCUUAUGAUCCGAGCCUAUAGCACCGUUUGCCAACCCUAUACUACAGUGGAAGAGGAUACUCCACUCAACAUUACAAAGGAUGCCAUCUAAUUUCUCAUUUACAAAUUCGUCCCCUCAGAUACUAAUACCCUCAACCUCACAUUCCACCUAUUGACGCAAACUAAGUUGCCCCUCCUUGCUUUUGAAAUAGGGCAUGAAUCUUGUUAGAAUCUCCAAUGCAAUACCAAGCACUUACCAAGCAUUUCAUCAAAUCCCGAAGGUCAAAUUUUAGUCCUAACCAGAUGAUAACUAUUAAGUUACGUUCUUUUUAAAAUUUGAUGUGUCAAAAUAUACUUUCGCAUAUUGAUCAAACUAAAUUAAAUGUACUAAACCCACAAUUUACACAAAAUACAAGGUCUAAUAGCCCAAUCCCAAACCUCAACUCAUCCUUCAUUCUAAGGACACCCAAAUAAUUUUCAUUUUAAGUCAUCCAAGGCCCUAUUUGUUGAGGGUUCGAUGGAUUAUUUGAUGCUAAGAGCCUAAGAAAUAUCUUCCAAGGAUGAUGUGCCUACUCAGAUUUAUUAUUUAUUUCUCAAUGUUAAAAUAUAAACAUAUAUUAGGCUUACAUUCUGCUUAGGAACAUAAUUUUUCAUUAACGAGAACAAAAGGGAACUUACUAUAUACUACUUAUUUAUCUUCAAUUAUAUGUUAAUUAAAACUAUUUGACAAGUUCAUAGCUUCUAGGAUUACAAACGAAGACACUACAAGAAAUCCAUCCAUUUCCUCUCUUCUUACAGAACUUAUUACUGCAAGCUUUUUUGCUAUUACAAAUAUGAAAAACACAUACUCAAGAAGUGUCGUUUUUUGGGGGCUUUGGUUGGGCUUUUCAAGGACAUUUGUGCUUGUUGCGGUGGGUUCUCAUAUCAGUAUAACAUUUGCCACACAUUUCCCUGUUACCAUAUGUCCCUGGUGGGACACAUUUGCAUCUGUCACAGCAUGUCAUGCAAGCUCUCAAGCAUAGGUUAGUCCUUGAGUGUAAUUUGCACCUUUGUCCACAUAAUGGGAUGCAAUCUGCCAACAAAGUUGUCCAACAUGUUGUCAGAAAGAUAACAGAUAAGUUCCUUGAGUUUUGGUAAAUGAAAAAAUGAUGUUUUCUUUACCCUUUUUUGUCCUAACAGGUGGCAAUGGUGGACUUGGUGGCUUGUAAGGCGGUGCUGGAGUUGUUGGUGGCUUAACUGGAGGUGUAGGAACUGGGGGCUUAUAUGGGGGAGUUGGUGCUUUAGUUGGCGGUGCUGGUGCUGGAGUUGGUGCUUUGGUUGGGGGUGUUGGGGGCUUAUAUGGGGGAGUAGGGGCCUUGACUGGAGGUGCCGGUGCGGGAGUAGGGGGUUUAUAUGGGGGAGUAGGAGCCUUGGUUGGUGGUGCUGGUGCUGGGGGCUUAAAUGGUGGAGUUGGAGCCUUGGUUGGUGGUGCAGGAGCUGGGGGCUUAUAUGGUGGAGUAGGAGCCUUGGUUGGUGGUGCAGGAGCUGGGGGCUUAUAUGGUGGAGUAGGAGCCUUGGUUGGUGGUGCAGGAGCUGGGGGUUUAUAUGGGGGAGUAGGAGCCUUGGUUGGUGGUUUAUAUGGUGGAGUGGGGGCCUUGGUAGGGGGUUUGUAUGGAGUGGGGCCCUUAGUUGGGGGUGCUGGAGUUGGAGCCUUGUACGGCGGCACCGGAGUGGUGGGAGGCUUAACGGGUGGAGCAGGGAUAGGUGCCUUCACUGGAACAGGAGCAGCAUACUUAAUCUGAACAGUGAUAUGCAACAAAUUUAGCAAAGUUCCAUUUACAGACUAUGGUCUUAUGCACCACAAUGGCUAAUAGCAUUCAGUAUGAAAAAAUACAAGAAAUACAUUAUCCAAAAAGAAAAAACAUGAAUCAGAUUGUUUCAAAAGAACCAAGUUUAAGAUUGUUACAACCUAGACAAGACAAAACAGUAAAAUAAAUGAUUGAAAAAUCACCUCA
rnacentral:lncRNA from 1 species